GGACCCCCAUGAUAUCCAGCACUGGGCUCUGAUUGCCCCUGAAUACACAGUGCCAUCCAGGACCUUUGAAACCUGGGGAUCUGAGGGGAAC
ensembl:snoRNA